rnacentral:sRNA from 1 species
GCCUGGUGGUGAGCUCCUGUAGUCCCAGCUACUUGGGAGGCUGAGUCAGGAGGGUCACUUGAACCCAGCAGUUCUAGACUAGCAUGGGCAACAUAAUGAGGCCUGGACUCUU